AGCUCCAAUAACGUACAUUUAAUUUCUUGCGGUUAAGGAGCUCGUAAUUGGAUUUCUGCUGAGGACGAUCGGUCCGCCCUCUGGGUGAGUAUCUGGCUCGGCCUUGGCAUCUUCAUGGAAAGCGUUACUGCGCUUGACUGUGCGGCGCGGUAUCCAAGACUUUUGCUUUGGUGAAAUUCGGAUGUUCCAAGCAGGCGCAGGCCGUGAAUACUUUUUGCACGGAAUAAUAAGAUAAGGCCUUGGUCAUAUUUUGUUGGUUUUCUACAGCUGAGGUAAUGAUUAAUAUGGAUCGUUAGGGGCAUUCGUAUUUAACUGUCAGAGGUGAGAUUCUUGGAUUUGUUGAAGACGGACUACUGCGAAAGCAUUUGCCCAGGAUGUGUUCAUUGAUCAAGAACGAAAG
rnacentral:rRNA from 1 species